ensembl:lincRNA Gm44421 predicted gene, 44421
GAUGGUCCUGCUCCGGGAAGACCCAAAGAAACCCAGAGCACAGUCAGAGUGCCAGCACAGGUUGAAGGAGAGGUGUGAGGAGAAGGGGAGGUUGUGAGAAGUGCAAUGGCUAUAGGAGGCAGGAGAGGAGAGAGAGCAUGUCCUGUGAGUGCAUUGGGAGGGAUAGGAGGGAGGCUAUUUGGCCCUUCCCCAGCACAGGUGGAGGAAGGAAGUAUGGAUAGCUGGGACAGAGUGGAGAUCAGUGCCAAUGACUCAAAAUGCAGGCCCAAAACAAAGUUUGUUAGCUCCCCACGGUGUGAUCACUACUGAAGCCAUGUCACUUUGACAGAAGAAGGAGGACCACCCGGGGCACCCCACAGCAAGGCGUGGUUGGAAUAGCCUUCAUCAGGGCUCCCAUUGGCCACUCUUGCCAAUGGUUAACAGAGUAGCUCUGACUCACUGGGGAUGAUGGUGUUCCUCCCAGCCUAACAGAUCCCUAAGCUGGGCCCUUUUCCCUUUUUCUUUCCCCUCCUGGCCAUCCUGACUCAAUGGGAAGUCUGGGUGCGUGGCUGAAGAUCCCAACACUACAUUGCGAGCUGAGGAUGUCCCAUGCAGUUGCCAAAGUAGAGUGGGCUGGGUCUCUUUCCCAGACCCUAUGUUAGAAAUGUGCUUUAUUCGUUUAUUUUUGCUUUUACUUAUUAUAUGUAUAUGGGGCCGGGUAACACACAUGACAUUGUGCAUAUAUGGAGGUUGGAGAACACUUUGUGAGAGUCAGUUCUCAACUACCAGGUGAGUUCCAGGGAUUGGUGGCAGUCAGGCUUGGUAGCAAGCACUCUUACCUGCUGAGCCAUCUCAGCAGCCCUCAAAGAUAUUUUCAGUGUGACUUUGCUGUCAUUAAGGGUUUCAUGUAGAAUCGAUGUGCUGUCAUUAAGGGUUUCAUGUAGAAUCCAUGUGCUGUCAUUAAGGGUUGCGUGUAGAAUCCAUCACCUUUACUCUUUCUGAAAUAAUCAACUUCCCUGGAGGCCACCACUCAAAGUUUUUACUGUCCCAGGCUCCCAUGGCUUCACUUGGUAUACACAUUUAAACAAUAUUAUGAAAGAUAUGGUGUCAUUAUAUUCUGUUUAUAAUUAAUAAUACAUAACUAAUAUAAGAUAACACAUGUCAAAAUUUAACUGUGUAUUAAUAUAUCACGAAAUACAUAAUAUGUAUAUGAUAUAGUUGCAAUAAAAUAGUACAUAAUCC